rnacentral:rRNA from 1 species
CAGCAGCCGCGGUAAUACAGAGGGUGCAAGCGUUAAUCGGAUUUACUGGGCGUAAAGGGCGCGUAGGUGGUUAUUUAAGUGAGAUGUGAAAGCCCCGGGCUUAACCUGGGAACUGCAUCUUAUACUGGGUAACUGGAGUGCAGUAGAGGGUAGUGGAAUUUCCGGUGUAGCGGUGAAAUGCGUAGAGAUCGGAAGGAACAUCUGUGGCGAAGGCGACUAUCUGGGCCAACACUGACACUGAGGCACGAAAGCGUGGGGAGCAAACAGGAUUAGAUACCCCAGUAGUCCCUGUCUCUUAUAC